UAAAGGGGAACCAUCCUCUAAGGCUAAAUAUGAUGCAUUGAGCGAUAGUGAAUAGUACCGUGAGGGAACGUUGAAAAGUAAGUAGAUAACUGGUGAAAAGAUCCUGAACCGGUAGUUCUAUAAGCAGCAGGAAUCUUAGUUUAAAUACAAGAUGACUGCGUACCUUUUGCAUAAUGGGUCAGCGAGUUAAUCUGUGGUGCAAGUAGAAAUACUUAGCGAAAGCGACUACGUUUAAUGGGUAAGUACCAUGGAUUAGACCCGAAACCAGGUGAUCUUCUCAUGGCCAAGUCAUUAAGGACUGAACCAGUGUUUGUGGCAAUAAACUUGGAUGAGCUGUGAGAAGGGGUGAAAGGCCAAUCUAACCUGGAGAUAGCUGGUAUUCUGCGAAACCUAUUUUGGUAGGAUGUCCUUCGUAUCUGUAAACUGGUACAGCACUGGAUACUAUGUCCCUUGUGGACUUGAUUGGGGGGUCGUGAUGGCUCUAUCAAUAGAAUCGGUUAAUUAACCGAUUCCUAAACCGUAUUGGUUUGGGAAUCUAACCUCGGAAUGGUUUACAGUAAAUAAAGGACGGUCAGACUAUAGGUGCUAAGGUCUUUAGUCGAGAGGGAAACAGCCCAGAACAAGAACUAAGGUCCCAAAAUUUACUACUAAGUGAAAUUAAGGUAGUUCGUGAAAUAACACAACCAUUCGGUGGGCUUGGAAGCAGCCAUCCGUUAAUGAAAGCGUAAUAGCUCAAUGGUCUGUUAUUAUAAGUUUCAAGAGCGCCGACGAUGUAUCGGGUCUAAGUAGUAUACCGAGGUCUUGUCCUAAUAUUGUAAUUAUAAUAUUGGAGGGUAGCAGAACACUCAGAACAUGGUUAAAGGAUAAGGUUUCCUUAUCUGGACAUAACUGAGGAGAGAAUGCUGACAUGAGUAACGUAAAAGUGGGUAAGAUCCCACUCGCCGAAAGCAGAAGGGUUUCAUGGCUAGGGUUAACCUCCAUGAGUAAAGUAACGGCCUCUAAGGCUUUUUUAAGCUCACAUGAGUGAACCCCGAUAGGGGUAGCCGAUGAGAAAAACUGAUUUAGAUAACAGUAUUAAAUUAAUAAAAAAUCGGUAACGGUAUAGUUUUAAUUUAAUAUUCAGGAAAUGAUCUAGAUAAUUAACCGUACCCUAAACCGACACUGGUCUGCAGGUAGAGUAUACCAAGGCGUUGAGCGAAUCAUCUUGAAGGAACUCGGCAAAAUCACUCCGUAACUUCGGAAGAAGGAGUACGACUUUUAUAGUCGUGGCACAGAAUAGAAGAGUACGACUGUUUACUUAAAACACCGGUCUUUGCUAAUAGAAAACUAGAUGUAUAAAGACUGAUACCUGCUCAGUGCUGGUAAGUCAAGAAAGGUACUAUUAAGGUACUGAUUGAACCUUCAGUAAACAGCGGUUGUAACUAUAACGAUCCUCAGGUAGCGAAAUACCUUGGCCACUAAUUAUGGUCGUGCAUGAAUGGUUUAACGAUACUCUUACUGUCUCCAAGAUGAGCUCAGUGAAAUUGAAUUAUCCGUGCAGAUGCGGAUUACCAUUAGCUAGACGGGAAGACCCUAUGCAGCUUUACUGUAGUUAGUCAUUGUGUGCUUAUUAUUAAGGUGUAGAAUACAAGGGAGUCGAUUUGACGUCAGUGAAAUACCUUGACUUAAUUAGGAGCACGCUAAACCAUAUUUUUUUUUUUGGGACAGUGAUUAAUGGGCAGUUUAUCUGGGGCGGAUUUCUCCUAUAUAGUACCGGAGAAGUACGAAGGUUGGCUUAAAUUGGAUGGAAACCAAUAGGCUAAAGAUAGCCUAAUAAAGUAUAAUGGCAUAAGCCAGCUUAACUGUAAGACUGACAAGUCAUACAGAUACGCAAGUAGGUCAUAGUGAUCCGGUGGUCCAUUAUGGAAUGGCCAUCGCUCAACGAAUAAAAGCUACGCUAGGGAUAACAGGCUGAUCAAUCUCGAGAGUCCAUAUUGACAGAUUGGUUUGGCACCUCGAUGUCGACUCAUCACAUCCUGGGGGUGUAGGCGCUCCCAAGGGUUCGGCUGUUCGCCGAGUAAAGUGGUACGUGAGUUGGG
rnacentral:rRNA from 1 species